GUGGAUUCGAUCCUUUCACCACUAUCUGCAGUUGUAAAAUUGUUGAUAACCAGAAAGAUCUGAACACAGGGACACACUGCCCUUUGAUCCAGAAAUUGAACGCACUCUCAGAAGACUUAGAAAGCAAGCCGCAGAAGCUUCAUCUGAAGCAAUCGAAUUUUACCAACAAGCUGCACCAAUGGCUGAACCUAUUCCACAAGAUGCUGCCCCAAAUGGACUUGCUAUCUAGAACCAAAUAGUCCAAGAAAAUCCAGCAAAUAGGCCUCAAGAACAAAGAGAAAGAACUAUGGGAGAAUUGGCAACCCCUGUAGGUAACUAUGCACCACUUUGCAUCACCUACCCACCUCUGACAGUUCCCUUUGAACUGAAGACAGGUUUGAUACACAUUCUCCCUAAGUUUAGAGGUAGAGAAAAUGAAAAUCCACACAAGCACUUAAAAGCAUUCAAUAUGAUCUGUUCAUCUAUGAAACCUCAAGGUAUCUCUGAAGAC